GGGUUGUGAGGUUAAGCGACUAAGCGUACACGGUGGAUGCCCUGGCAGUCAGAGGCGAUGAAGGACGUGCUAAUCUGCGAUAAGCGUCGGUAAGGUGAUAUGAACCGUUAUAACCGGCGAUUUCCGAAUGGGGAAACCCAGUGUGUUUCGACACACUAUCAUUAACUGAAUCCAUAGGUUAAUGAGGCGAACCGGGGGAACUGAAACAUCUAAGUACCCCGAGGAAAAGAAAUCAACCGAGAUUCCCCCAGUAGCGGCGAGCGAACGGGGAGCAGCCCAGAGCCUGAAUCAGUGUGUGUGUUAGUGGAAGCGUCUGGAAAGGCGUGCGAUACAGGGUGACAGCCCCGUACACAAAAAUGCACAUGCUGUGAGCUCGAUGAGUAGGGCGGGACACGUGGUAUCCUGUCUGAAUAUGGGGGGACCAUCCUCCAAGGCUAAAUACUCCUGACUGACCGAUAGUGAACCAGUACCGUGAGGGAAAGGCGAAAAGAACCCCGGCGAGGGGAGUGAAAAAGAACCUGAAACCGUGUACGUACAAGCAGUGGGAGCACGCUUAGGCGUGUGACUGCGUACCUUUUGUAUAAUGGGUCAGCGACUUAUAUUCUGUAGCAAGGUUAACCGAAUAGGGGAGCCGAAGGGAAACCGAGUCUUAACUGGGCGUUAAGUUGCAGGGUAUAGACCCGAAACCCGGUGAUCUAGCCAUGGGCAGGUUGAAGGUUGGGUAACACUAACUGGAGGACCGAACCGACUAAUGUUGAAAAAUUAGCGGAUGACUUGUGGCUGGGGGUGAAAGGCCAAUCAAACCGGGAGAUAGCUGGUUCUCCCCGAAAGCUAUUUAGGUAGCGCCUCGUGAAUUCAUCUCCGGGGGUAGAGCACUGUUUCGGCAAGGGGGUCAUCCCGACUUACCAACCCGAUGCAAACUGCGAAUACCGGAGAAUGUUAUCACGGGAGACACACGGCGGGUGCUAACGUCCGUCGUGAAGAGGGAAACAACCCAGACCGCCAGCUAAGGUCCCAAAGUCAUGGUUAAGUGGGAAACGAUGUGGGAAGGCCCAGACAGCCAGGAUGUUGGCUUAGAAGCAGCCAUCAUUUAAAGAAAGCGUAAUAGCUCACUGGUCGAGUCGGCCUGCGCGGAAGAUGUAACGGGGCUAAACCAUGCACCGAAGCUGCGGCAGCGACGCUGAUGCGUUGUUGGGUAGGGGAGCGUUCUGUAAGCCUGCGAAGGUGUGCUGUGAGGCAUGCUGGAGGUAUCAGAAGUGCGAAUGCUGACAUAAGUAACGAUAAAGCGGGUGAAAAGCCCGCUCGCCGGAAGACCAAGGGUUCCUGUCCAACGUUAAUCGGGGCAGGGUGAGUCGACCCCUAAGGCGAGGCCGAAAGGCGUAGUCGAUGGGAAACAGGUUAAUAUUCCUGUGCUUGGUGUUACUGCGAAGGGGGGACGGAGAAGGCUAUGUUGGCCGGGCGACGGUUGUCCCGGUUUAAGCGUGUAGGCUGGUUUUCCAGGCAAAUCCGGAAAAUCAAGGCUGAGGCGUGAUGACGAGGCACUACGGUGCUGAAGCAACAAAUGCCCUGCUUCCAGGAAAAGCCUCUAAGCAUCAGGUAACAUCAAAUCGUACCCCAAACCGACACAGGUGGUCAGGUAGAGAAUACCAAGGCGCUUGAGAGAACUCGGGUGAAGGAACUAGGCAAAAUGGUGCCGUAACUUCGGGAGAAGGCACGCUGAUAUGUAGGUGAAGUCCCUCGCGGAUGGAGCUGAAAUCAGUCGAAGAUACCAGCUGGCUGCAACUGUUUAUUAAAAACACAGCACUGUGCAAACACGAAAGUGGACGUAUACGGUGUGACGCCUGCCCGGUGCCGGAAGGUUAAUUGAUGGGGUCAGCGCAAGCGAAGCUCUUGAUCGAAGCCCCGGUAAACGGCGGCCGUAACUAUAACGGUCCUAAGGUAGCGAAAUUCCUUGUCGGGUAAGUUCCGACCUGCACGAAUGGCGUAAUGAUGGCCAGGCUGUCUCCACCCGAGA
rnacentral:rRNA from 1 species